GACGAACGCUGGCGGCGUGCUUAACACAUGCAAGUCGAACGGAAAGGCCCUGCUUUUGUGGGGUGCUCGAGUGGCGAACGGGUGAGUAACACGUGAGUAACCUGCCCUUGACUUUGGGAUAACUUCAGGAAACUGGGGCUAAUACCGGAUAGGAGCUCCUGCUGCAUGGUGGGGGUUGGAAAGUUUCGGCGGUUGGGGAUGGACUCGCGGCUUAUCAGCUUGUUGGUGGGGUAGUGGCUUACCAAGGCUUUGACGGGUAGCCGGCCUGAGAGGGUGACCGGCCCAGUUGGGACUGAAAUGAGGCCCAGACUCCUCCGGGAGGGAGCAGUGGGGAAUAUUGCACAAUGGGAGGAGGCCUGAUGCAGCAACGCCGCGUGGGGGAUAACGGCCUGCGGGUAGUAAACCACUUUCGCUUGUGACGAAGCGUGAAUGACGGUAAUGGGUAAAGAAGCACCGGCUAACUACGUG
rnacentral:rRNA from 1 species